rnacentral:rRNA from 1 species
UCAUAGAAUUUAUUAAAAUUCAUGAUGUCGUAAGGGAAAAUAAUGAUAAUACCUUACUAUGAGUGUCGUCCAAAUCUGGUGCCAGAAGACUCGGUAAGACCAGAGACGCAAACGUUAAUCAUCAUAAACAGGCGUAAAGGGUUUGUAGGCAGCUUUUAUAAGAUAAUAAAAUCUAAAUUGAAAGCUAGAAUCAAAAAGAGGUUAUAGUGUAUAACGCCUAGAGGAGGGCUGAUAUCCAUAGAUCCUAGGCAGAAUACUCAGGGCGAAGGCCACUCUCCACUAAUGAUUGACGCUGAGAAACGAAGGUUAGGGUAGGAAAUAGGAUUAGAUACCCCGGUACUCCUUUCUGUAAACGAUGAAUGGUAGUCAUUAGUAACAUAAAAUAACUAGAGGCGAAGUUAACACAAUAACCAUUCCGCCUUGUGAGUACUACUGCAAAGUAGAAAACAAAAAAAUUAGUCGGUCUCGAAGCAAACGGAGUGAAGCAUGUUAUUUA